CAGAGGAGAAGAAAGGAAAGAGGAAGUAACUUGUGGAAUGCUAAGAAAGAAUUAAUGGAUUGGCUUCAGUUGGGAAAGCUGCGCUCACCUGUUGGUGAGCAUGAGGACAUCAACUGGAUGAAGUAUAUGGCUGAACCAAGUCUGAGGACAGGGCAAAAUUGUGGCUAAAGAGUUUCCUCUUGGCUCUGAGCUAUGCCAGCCUAGAAGAUGGGGGAUGGGGUGAAGGUGGGAAGAUUGUAUUUCCCUUCUCCUUGAGGUUAGACACAGUUACAUGGCUAGUUGAGCCAACAGAAGAGGAGCCGAAGUGAAAUAUGACACUUCCAAGUGAAAGACUAUAACUGCUGAUGCUUUUCUCUCAUCCCUGCCAAGAGCACAAUCACAGAGGUUCAUAUCCAUAUGAAGGCAGUAUCAGAGUGGAGGAGCUUGGAAUGCUGAGCAAACACACGGAGGAACGCUGCUGUGGUGCAUUACAUGGACUCCAGCAGGCUUCGCAUGAGUGACAAAUACACUUCAGUCAAGCCACUGAGAUUAGGCAGUUUGUCCUGCAGCACAGUCUAGCCUAUUUGGAUGUAUCUGAGUUUAGUCAUGGUAGCAUUAUGCAUCCUUGUAGCUGGGAGGGUCAAGUAACAGUUCUAGCAAACAAAAUAUAAAUUGAGGUGACUGGGCAAGUGAGCCUUCUAGGAAAAGCCUUUUAAAGAAACAAAUUCAGCUGGCAUGAGCAGUUUCUAUUUUUGUCCUUCAUUUUCUUGCCUGGAAUGUAGACAUGAUGGCUGGAACUGUAGGAGUUAUCUUGACAGCAUGAGGACUAGGGUCCCAUCCAAUGGUGCAGUGUGGACAGAGGAAAGGAGAUGGGACCCUGCUGACAUCAUGGAGCUGCCAUACUUUGGACUUCCCACAUCUGGGAUUCAUUUACGGGAGAGGAAAACAAACUUUUGUGUUGUUUAACCCACUGUUUUUCAAGUUUCUAUUCCUAACAGCCCAGUGCAAUUUUUAACUGUUAUGGAAGGUACAGAAGUAAUUUUAAUUCUUCCAGUAUUUAUACUAUUAGUUUUUCAUAUUUUUAUUGUGGAAACUUUCAAACAUAUCCAAAAAUACAGACAGUAGUCAUCAUCCAGCUUCAGCAAUGAUCAACUCAUAGCCAAUCAUGC
rnacentral:lncRNA from 1 species